AUUAAUAUUUUAUUAACUUAACCUCUGAGUAGUACUGGAUAGCCUCAAACUCAAAGAAUUUGGCGGCACCCCACCCUAUUAGAGGAGCCUGCCCCAUAAAUGAUGGUCCACGAUUUACUUUACCUUUAAUUAAAGUUUGUAUACCGCCGUAUAGGGUAUAUUUUAAAUUAUUCCCUUAAUUAUAUUAUUUAAUAUUUCAGGUCAAGGUGCAGCUAAUGUAAAGGAGGAGGUGGGCUACAAUAAACUGAUUUAAACGGAAUUUAAUUCUAAAAAUUUAAUUAAGGUGGAUUUAAAUGUAAAAUUUUUAUUUAAAAAUUUGGCCAGGUU
rnacentral:rRNA from 1 species